rnacentral:rRNA from 1 species
UGGGGAAUAUUGCACAAUGGGCGCAAGCCUGAUGCAGCCAUGCCGCGUGUAUGAAGAAGGCCUUCGGGUUGUAAAGUACUUUCAGUCGGGAGGAAGGCGGUAAGGUUAAUAACCUUAUCAAUUGACGUUACCGACAGAAGAAGCACCGGCUAACUCCGUGCCAGCAGCCGCGGUAAUACGGAGGGUGCAAGCGUUAAUCGGAAUUACUGGGCGUAAAGCGCACGCAGGCGGUUGAUUGAGUCAGAUGUGAAAUCCCCGGGCUUAACCCGGGAAUUGCAUCUGAUACUGGUCAGCUAGAGUCUUGUAGAGGGGGGUAGAGUUCCAUGUGUAGCGGUGAAAUGCGUAGAGAUGUGGAGGAAUACCGGUGGCGAAGGCGGCCCCCUGGACAAAGACUGACGCUCAGGUGCGAAAGCGUGGGGAGCAAACAGG